CAAAGAUUAGGAGGAGUGCAAUUACAUGAUGGAGAAGUUAAUGACAUCAUUUGGUCAUCAUGGUUAGACAAAAAAAGAAAGAGACAACCAUGCUGAAAAAAUUAAAUGGUGAUCAAGCAAAUGUGGUAAGAGGAUUCUGAUGAAGAAGAAUUAUAGAAGUUAUCUCCCGAUCAUGAGGAGUUGAUCUUUAGGCUUUCUCUUGUGUAAGUUUUAUGGGAAUAAUAGUUUUUUUCUUAUCAAAUUAAUGAUGGAUAUGUAGAUAUUUUUAUUAUUGGAUGAAUGUUGGAUGCACUUCAAUUAAUGAUUGUAGAAUUUUAUAUUAUGUA